CUGGGAGGGGAGGGAGUGAAGGACGCUGGGAAAGUUAGAAAGAAUGCGUUUGCCCCAAGAACAUGGAGAAGAAAAUGCAGAGUUGUCUUCAGUAAGGAAGCAGUAUCCAUUCCAAGAUGGAAGAUCCUGAAGUGCAUAAAGUUCGUCAACUAAGUGGGGAAAAAUUAAUGAAUUUUUCUCUUGGGGAAAAGAGAAAUCCACCUCUUUCGGGGGUUUCACCAAAGGACAAGAACUAUUCUCUGUCGCAUUUUCUACCUAGCACCCCAAUAAUGCUCUCAGACAUGGCCUCUUCAGGAACGUCAGCACCCAGAAGUGGUGCCCAUUCUUUAAUGGCUCUUUACAGCCCUCCUCUUCAAUGAAUAUUUUUCCAUGGUUACAUCAUUCAUGAUCCCCUCGAAUAUGGCAAGCAGUUCCACUGGGUAUCAUUGUUCAAAAUCUAUGUCUGUGUUAUUCAUAUCUGCAGUAGCACGAUUGAAAGAACUUCAGUAUUCUGAAACUUACUGCAGAUCAGUCAUCUGGUAACAGGAGAAAUGCAGUCAUCAGUCAAGGAGAACUAGAAUUUUAUGGCAUCCAAUUUGCCCCAAAGCUCCCUGCCCAGGAAAAUCAGAUCAAGAUUUGCAAAGAGGAGAAAAGCCUACAGGGUCAGUCCUGUUGGAAUGGAGAAGGAAAAGGACAGCUUGCAGCCAUCCCUUCAGGUCUGACAUUUGGCUGCUGGGCUGAAGACCUGGGCUCAGAAAUCUGAUGCAAGCAUACAAUGAUUAGCUCCAGAGGCAACUGGGAAAUUCCCCACUAUCAUGCUAAUGGACACACAGGACUCUCUGGGUGGAGCUGAAAUGAGAAGGUGAUAAAGGGUGUCCUCUGAGGGCACUGGGUAUUUCAACACAUUCCCGCAAAGACAGAGGGAAGGUAGAACUUAAAAUCACAUUCAAUCUACACAACAAAUCAACAACACAUAAAUUAUUUGUUGGGUAAGUAAAUACCUGAGUU